UACGUAGGGGGCAAGCGUUGUUCGGAAUUACUGGGCGUAAAGCGUGCGCAGGCGGUGAUGUAAGACAGUUGUGAAAUCCCCGGGCUCAACCUGGGAACUGCAUCUGUGACUGCAUUGCUGGAGUGCGGCAGAGGGGGAUGGAAUUCCGCGUGUAGCAGUGAAAUGCGUAGAUAUGCGGAGGAACACCGAUGGCGAAGGCAAUCCCCUGGGCCUGCACUGACGCUCAUGCACGAAAGCGUGGGGAGCAAACAGG
rnacentral:rRNA from 1 species